rnacentral:rRNA from 3 species
GGAGGACGCUCACCACUUUGUGGUUCAUGACUGGGGUGAAGUCGUAACAAGGUAGCCCUAGGGGAACCUGGGGCUGGAUCACCUCCUUAUACGAAGAUAC